rnacentral:rRNA from 1 species
GCUCAGAUUGAACGCUGGCGGCAGGCUUAACACAUGCAAGUCGAGCGGUAACAUAAAGAAGCUUGCUUCUUUGAUGACGAGUGGCGGACGGGUGAGUAAUGCUUGGGAAUCUAGCUUAUGGAGGGGGAUAGCUACGGGAAACUGUAGCUAAUACCGCGUAAUAUCGAAAGAUUAAAGUGUGGGACCUUCGGGCCACAUGCCAUAGGAUGAGCCCAAGUGGGAUUAGGUAGUUGGUGAGGUAAAGGCUCACCAAGCCGACGAUCUCUAGCUGGUCUGAGAGGAUGACCAGCCACACUGGGACUGAGACACGGCCCAGACUCCUACGGGAGGCAGCAGUA